UGGCUUGUUCUUUGACUCCAUGUUGUGUUUAGAUGUCAGAUGGUGAUGUUAAUUUCAAUGUUACGCUGUGGUGCAUGUGUUAAUUGGAAGGAUUUGGCCAGCAGCGAAGCGACUCGAUGAUGGGGACUGAGUUGUUUUCGUUGCAGACCCUCUGUCUGCCCCGUUACAAGACGACCGGCAAAGAUGAGUUUGCCUUGCUUCCCGGGCACAGCAAGGUCGUCGAAAGGUACCUUGUUUUUUUCUGUAAUAUACACGGUGAUGAUAAUUUCAGUAUUGUACUGUUGUGCCGUGUGAAUUGUGAGGUGUUGUGCUGGGA